AUAUGCCUACGGGGCGCAGCAGUGAGGAAUAUUGGUCAAUGGGCGCAGGCCUGAACCAGCCAAGUAGCGUGAAGGAUGACUGCCCUAUGGGUUGUAAACUUCUUUUAUAUGGGAAUAAAGUUUUCCACGUGUGGAAUUUUGUAUGUACCAUAUGAAUAAGGAUCGGCUAACUCCGUGCCAGCAGCCGCGGUAAUACGGAGGAUCCGAGCGUUAUCCGGAUUUAUUGGGUUUAAAGGGAGCGUAGGCGGAUUAUUAAGUCAGUUGUGAAAGUUUGCGGCUCAACCGUAAAAUUGCAGUUGAUACUG
rnacentral:rRNA from 1 species